AUUGAACGCUGGCGGCAGGCUUAACACAUGCAAGUCGAGCGGAGCGAGGGUGCUUGCACCUUAGCUUAGCGGCGGACGGGUGAGUAAAGCUUAGGAAUCUGCCUAUUAGUGGGGGACAACAUUCCGAAAGGAAUGCUAAUACCGCAUACGCCCUACGGGGGAAAGCAGGGGAUCUUCGGACCUUGCGCUAAUAGAUGAGCCUAAGUCGGAUUAGCUAGUUGGUGGGGUAAAGGCCUACCAAGGCGACGAUCUGUAGCGGGUCUGAGAGGAUGAUCCGCCACACUGGGACUGAGACACGGCCCAGACUCCUACGGGAGGCAGGAGUGGGGAAUAUUGGACAAUGGGCGGAAGCCUGAUCCAGCCAUGCCGCGUGUGUGAAGAAGGCCUUUUGGUUGUAAAGCACUUUAAGCGAGGAGGAGGCUACUUAGAUUAAUACUCUGGGAUAGUGGACGUUACUCGCAGAAUAAGCACCGGCUAACUCUGUGCCAGCAGCCGCCGUAA
rnacentral:rRNA from 1 species